AGAGCAAGAGCAGGGGCA
rnacentral:snRNA from 1 species